AUGCUGCAGCUAAGCUCGUAGUUGGUUUCUGGUCGUGGCAACCGGUCCAUCCCUCACGGGAUGUGUACCAGGUUUCUGCGGCCAUCCUCGGGGAGAGCACAUGGGGCAUUGUGUUGUCUGGUGUGGGAUCCUCGUCAUUUACUGUGAGCAAAAUAGAGUGUUCAAAGCUUGCUUAGGCCGUUGAAUACAUUAGCAUGGAAUAAUAAGAUAGGACCUUGGUCUAUUUUGUUGGUUUGCAUUCCAAGGUAAUGAUUAAUAGGGAUAGUUGGGGGUAUUCUUAUUCAAUUGUCAGAGGUGAAAUUCUUGGAUUUAUGGAAGACGAACUACUGCGAAAGCAUUUACCAAGGAUGUUUUCAUUAAUCAAGAACGAAAGUUAGGGGAUCGAAGAUGAUUAAAUACCAUCGUAUUCUUAACCAUAAACUAUGCCGACGAGGGAUUGGUGGACGUUUGUUACUACGCCAUCACCACCUUAUAAAAAAUCAAAUUCUUUGGGUUCCGGGGGGAGUAGGGACAAA
rnacentral:rRNA from 1 species